CAAGCGAGCUGUCUAGCACGUGCAGACAAUGCACUAUCAUCAAUACAAACCAAACAUCCGAACGCUUGAAAGUUUUGCGCUUUUGGAUUAUGACGACUAAACGGGAUCAAGCCUCAAUGGACUUUCACGUGUUUUAGAUAAAACUCUUCGAGGAUAACUUCCUGACAUAGAAAGAAGAGUUGAACAUACAGUAAAAGUGAAAGGCAUACAGAUUUGGAACAACAUGAGGUUGGAGUUCAGCAGCAAAGAGCAUCAAGGAAGCAUUACCACAUCACUUACAGUUCAGCUGUCUGGCGUUGGCCUGACCUCCUGAACCUUGACUUUACCUGACCUCUCUUCAGACUCUCGGUUUAACCAGCUCAGUGUCUCUCAGUAUCAGAUCUAGAGGGAGAGAGAGAGGGGAGCGAUUGAGGAGACGCAUCAGGAUACCAGCCUGUCUGGAGCUGCACCCAAACAUCAAGGGAGUCUGGUUAACUGGCUCUCCAGUCUAGUUUAGUAUGCCCAUCUAACUUGUGAAUGGCCUGUGAAUUGAAGAUCCAUUUUUGUCAUCCCACCUGUAUGGAACGUGUGAGUGUGUGUUUGUGGGUGCGUGUAAACGCUGUCUAAUGACCCUCGCUCCACUGCACAGUCAGAGAUGGAACUGUGAUGCCAUUUGUUUUGAUGUCAUAAAUCGAUGGGAUUGAGUCUCCCAGGAGCUUCAGCUGUUCUCUCAGCUUGACGGCAAAUUACAUCACACUCUCAUCACUCACCCGCAGAUUUGUGUUUUUCAGCCACAGCUCUUUCAAAGUGAUCUAGUCUCAGAAUAGGACUGAAAAUCUCCCACUGUAUCAAUCUAUAUCAGGUCCAAUGCAUCUUCCACUGUAUCAGCGUCUGACAUGAUCUGUGAGACGCCACAAGCAAUUGGUGUAAGGAAUCUUUAGCUAGUGUUUGAAUGGGUUCUAUGGCCUUUUAAUAUUAAUGUUUUGUGCGUGUGUAUAAUUGUUAUAUGUGCUUUUGAAACCAUAUUUUCUGCAAGCUUUCUCUGCUAAAAAUACAGCUUACACCAGCUCGAAAUCUGUACUGGCCAAGGCAGAUUUUUGUGCUGGUGUAAUGAUCAAAUAGUACACCAGCAUCCCAUGAUGGUCAAGUAGUACACCAGCAUCCCAUGAUGGUCAACCAGUACACCAGCAUACCCUGAUGGUCUGCCAGUACACCGGUAUACUGUGAUGGUCAUCCAGUUCACUAGCAUCAUGUGAUUGUCAACCAGUACACUAGCAUCCUAUGAUGAUCAGCCAGUACAUCAGCAUCACAUGAUGAUCAACCAUUACAUCAGCAUCCUAUGAUGAUUAACCAGUAUACCAACAUCCCAUGAUGAUUAACUAGUACACCAACAUCCGGUAGUGGUCAAAAAGAUAAUCCACAUCCCAUGAUAGUCAACCAGUACAUCAGCAUCCCAUUAUGAUCAAUCAGUACAUCAGCAUCCCGUGAUAGUCAACCAGUACAUCAGCAUCCCAUUAUGAUCAACCAGUACAUCAGCAUCCCGUGAUAGUCAACCAGUACAUCAGCAUCCCAUUAUGAUCAACCAGUACAUCAGCAUCCCGUGAUAGUCAACCAGUACAUCAGCAUCCCGUUAUGAUCAACCAGUACAUCAGCAUCGCAUGAUGGUCAACCAGUACAUCUGCAUCCCAUGAUGAUCAACCAGUACAUCAGUAUCCCAUGAUGA